GAUGAACGCUAGCGGCAGGCCUAACACAUGCAAGUCGAGGGGCAGCACAGAAACAGCAAUGUUUUGGUGGCGACCGGCGGACGGGUGCGUAACGCGUAUGCAACCUACCUUUAACAGGGGGAUAACGGAGAGAAAUUUCCACUAAUACCCCAUAACAUCGAUCAAGGCAUCUUGAUUGGUUGAAAACUCCGGUGGUUAAAGAUGGGCAUGCGUUGUAUUAGGUAGUUGGUGAGGUAAUGGCUCACCAAGCCUACGAUACAUAGGGGGACUGAGGGGUUAGGCCCCCACAAUGGUACUGAGACACGGACCAGACUCCUACGGGAGGCAGCAGUGAGGAAUAUUGGUCAAUGGGUGCAACCCUGAACCAGCCAUGCCGCGUGCAGGAAGACGGCUCUAUGAGUUGUAAACUGCUUUUAAACAGGGAUAAAGCACAUUAUGUAUACUGUGUUGAAGGUACUGUAAGAAUAAGGAUCGGCUAACUCCGUGCCAGCCGCCGCCGUAA
rnacentral:rRNA from 1 species